GGAAUAUUAAAACUUAUGAGAACUUAUAAUUCAAUGAGUAGUAAAAAUGUCUGCAAUAUAUAUCACGGUAUAAUUUUAGAUCUUAGUACUGCGCUAAUCACUCAUCGCAGUGAAAAAGAUCGCAAUCAAUUGACAAAAGAACUAAAUAAUUGACGAAAGUCAUCAAAGCAUUUGAUAUGACGAAAAUUAUGAUAGGACAUUGAAUGAGAUAAACAAAUCUUGAGGCAAAAUGAUACUAAUUAGCCUGUUAGGACCAAAUGAAUGAUUAUCCGAAUCUAAGUAAAUGUGCUUGAUAGAUUAAAACUUUCCUUCAACUACUCUAAUGAAUUGCGUAAAUAUGAUGUGGCUAAUACUAAAACGUGAUACAACAGUACCUAUAUUAUCUAAAUGAAUAAAUAAGCACGAAUAUAUAUUACUUAAACUGUCGUAGAAUUGAAUAGAAUCGACAGCACUUUAAAAUGUGCAAUGUAAUCUAUGUACGGUAUGUAUUUGUAGACGGACAUUGGAUUUAGUAUUCGUUUUAGCUUUAAUGGAGUUUUUAGAUCUUUUUGAAUAUUUACGAAGUCGAUUUCAUUAUAUAAGAUAUAUUCAGAUUCGAUGCUCAGAAUUAAAAUAUGUUUACAAACAACCAAGAAUAUUACUGAAACCGCCAAGAAACUCAGCAGUUGUACAACAGUAGUAGUUAAAUAUAAUUUUUAAAAUAAAACACAAACAAAACUAAAGUGUAAUUAUGAAACAAAAGCUUCUUAAAAGUGAACUACGGAGAAGUUACCGACAUCUAUUAUUUAAAAAAAUAACACUACUGACAGUAGUCUUAUAUGAUGUGGAACAUCAGACGUCUUACCUCGUUAACUAGCAACAUUGUACCCAUGGAAAUUACCUCACCAUCUGACGGCCAACUCUAGCGCAGUGCGCUCAUUGGUCAAAAUAAAUAGCGCGCUCUUUAGAAAAACAAUCCCACAGGUUGCAGUACAGCGGGAGGAACGAUGUUACAGAUUAAAAAAUAAUUUCACACACAAUGGUUGUUUGUCAACGUAUAUAUAGUUUUGAACUAUUUUCGUUUUACAUGAUACUUUUAAAGUGCCUAGAUUUGGAUGGUAGUCCUAAUUCUUACGAGUUUGCAUUUAACAUGGACGAAUAAUAAAAGUUAUAAUAUGGCAGAAGAAAAAAACAACAACAAUACAGUGCGUGACAACCUUUACUUUUAUAAAGCGAGAAUAUACUUUUGCUCUAAACUCUAUAAUUGAGUAGAUUAUAAUAUUAUGUAAGCAAAGUUAUUUGAAACCUCUUUGGAAUACUACAUAAUAGUCAGUUUUAGAUGGGAGACGUAGGGAUCUAAUAAAAAUAUUUUGAAAGAUAAUUUCAUGCUAUAAGUAAUUAGUGGUUUCACAUAGAACUUUUAAUUCUUAACUAAUAUCCUCAUUUAACACGAAAGGUUUUACAAGUACAGUUGUAGCAUUAUUAUAAGUUACUUGGAUCAAUUCGUUCACGUGUAGCCAUACCAGGGAGGCAAAAGUCCAGGUUAAUAUAAGGUUAAAUAAACUAUUGUCUUUGUGAUAACUUGUAGGCUGUAUGCGAAUGAACACUUGCAAACUUGGAUUAAAAAAUUAUAUAGAGCCGUCGUAAGUCACUGUGACCUAAAUUGUGUCACAACUCCCCACUCCCUAGUAUAAGUAAUAUAUUAUAGACUAUAUUAUUUUUUAUAUUAUAGGGUAGUGGGAUUAUCUAUAUUGGCUGUCUGAAAUCAAAGAUAAUUUAACUUUGAAGAUAUUUUGUUUUAUUCCAGAUAAGGACAUGUUUUGAUUUCUAAAAAUUAUCUUUAUUUUAAUUAAAAAUAAAAAUUAAAUUUGAUGCGGCCAAUCUGCAUCAAUUCAUCUGUUGUAUCUUAAAGUUAAAAUUCUGUUUUAUUAUUCAAUUUGCCGAAAAUAGCUUUAUAUGAAAAAUAGCUUUACGAUCCAAUGUAACUUAUAAUAUUGAUGAUAUUUUAAUAUUUAUUUAAUAUGUAAACGAGGAGGUAAUAAAAAAGUGACAGAUAUCUCAUUCAAAAUUUAAUGCUCAAUCUUUUUAAAGUUAAAGACAACGAUAUUUCAUUCCAAAAUGUAAACUUUAGUAAUGACCUGCCAUUUUGUUUUGUUUUUCCAUUCACACUGGUGUUGCUAUAAGAAAUAAAAAGUAUAUAAGAUGAUUUUCAAUAUUAUGUGAUAAAACAUGUACUUAAUAUAUAGUUAAAUCAAAGACGGGUAGUGGUAGUGAUAUAUUAAAGUGUAAUAUCAAUUUUGUAUUAUUUAAAUUAUAGUAGAAAUUAUCAUCUUAAUAUAUGAGAUCUUUUAGAGCGGCCAGUGUGUUUGGAAAGAUAUGCUACAUUUGUGAGAGCGAUUGUAAAUUUUUAAUGCUAAAUUUGUAGCCUUAUCCAUAUUAUCUAAUUAUUAAAUUAUAUUAUGAAUAAUUAUUGAUAUAAUAUAUUUAUUGUGAACUAUA